rnacentral:rRNA from 1 species
UAGGGAAUCUUCCGCAAUGGACGCAAGUCUGACGGAGCAACGCCGCGUGAGUGAAGAAGGAUUUCGGUUCGUAAAACUCUGUUGUUAGAGAAGAACAGCGCAUAGAGUAACUGUUAUGCGUGUGACGGUAUCUAACCAGAAAGCCACGGCUAACUACGUGCCAGCAGCCGCGGUAAUACGUAGGUGGCAAGCGUUGUCCGGAUUUAUUGGGCGUAAAGCGAGCGCAGGCGGUCAAUUAAGUCUGAUGUGAAGGCCCCCGGCUCAACCGGGGAGGGUCAUUGGAAACUGGUUGACUUGAGUGCAGAAGAGGAGAGUGGAAUUCCAUGUGUAGCGGUGAAAUGCGUAGAUAUAUGGAGGAACACCAGUGGCGAAGGCGACUCUCUGGUCUGUAACUGACGCUGAGGUUCGAAAGCGUGGGUAGCAAACAGG